AUGAAAUUGAUGAUAUGGUUGUGUCAGUCUUUAGAAAGUUUAGUUCUGAAAGUUUAAAAGAAAUUGCUUCAUCGCAACUAUUAAAAUCAAUUUUUUCUGGUCAAUUAUACAGCUACAGACAUAAUAUUUAU